rnacentral:snRNA from 1 species
AGAUGUAAGGGCAAUCUGGCUGCAACAUCUGUCACCCCAUUGAUUAUCAGGGUUGAUUUGCUGAUCUGGUGGCUAGGCAGGUGUCCCCUUCCUCCCUCACCACUUCAUGUGUAUUAUUCCAGAAGUUGGGACACUACAUGGAAGAAGACAACCUUCCCCAAUAGAGGACCAUUCUUUGGUAAAGUAGCUGUGCUCCUCUGCUAGCUCACAAAAUAAAAAAUAAAAACGGAUACAGCUCAGUGACAGAGCACCUGCCAUCUCUAGCAUGCUAUAGAU